rnacentral:lncRNA from 1 species
GCAAGUUUAAGUGCCUUAAAAACCUACACUUCUACAUUUAGGGGGGGUUUCAGAACACCUAACUGUUAUUAAACGGAUUAGAAUUUGUUGUAACCUGACAAAUUUCCACUUCCAUUUGCCUAGGAAGUAGCACGUCUUCCUCAUUGUCUUUUUUUUUUCUUUUUCCUGACUCUUGACUUUGACCUGGAGGAUGCCUCCCGGUCAGACCCCGCCAUGGUAGCAGAUGACGCUGCCACGUUACGCCACACAACCAUUCUCAGGCUUUUUUUUAACCACAAAUCCACACAAAAUUAAGAAAAUCGAAAAAUAUGAUACUCACUAUUGCCUGUGUAGAUCGCUCAACACCAAAAUGCACUUAAGAACAGUAAAUUGUUUUGAGUUUUUAUUCUUCACUCACCAGCACAGAAAAACCACCUUUCCCACUCGAACGUUGAAUAAAAGCAUAGACAGACGGCCGCGUUGAUCCGGAUUAAUUGCACACUUAAUCUGAUCCAAAUUUUACCCUAACGGACGGCAACAUUGCGGAUUAAGUAAACAGCUGAUUUAGUGGUUUUAUUAUUUUGAGAGUUCUUCAAGUUAAAAUGGACAGAAGACGACAAAUAAAAUUGGCGACUGCGUUGUUGAUAAAAAACGAUUAUUUAUUAAAAAAAAAAAGAUUACAUUACUUUUGCUGAAACUUCUCCAAAACAUAAAAAUAUUCAAUGAAGCAAAGGUAGUGAUGCAAACUAGUACUGCAUUCGCUCAUUCUGAGAUAAGAUCAAGGCCAGUUUGGAAGUUUGACCGUAAUGGCACUUUUUGGGAGUUUGAUGUGUUCAGAAUGGAUGACCACCGAUUCAAGGAAAACUUUCGGCUCAACAAAAGUGCGUUUCAAAAAGUGUGCGAGAAGGUUCAAAGAAUCGAGAAGAUGGACACCAACAUGAGACUUUGCAUCCCUCUUCAUAAGAGGGUGGCCAUUGCAUUAUUUGCACUAGGCUCGUCAGCGGAAUACCGGACCGUUGCCAGCUUAUUCGGUGUAGGACGCAGCACAGUUGUAGAAAUUGUUCUAUAUUUUUGUAACGCAGUUUGUGACAAUUUAUUGGACUGCAUCAAUUCCUAUCCGCCACAUCCCGAAGAACUGAAGAAAAUUGUGCAUGGGUUCGGACAACUGGGAUUUCCCCAAUGUUUUGGUGCUAUAGAUGGCUGUCAUAUAGAGGUUCAGCCAAAAAAAGAGGACGCAAUCGACUAUUAUAAUUAUAAGGGCUGGUAUUCAGUAAAUUUAUUUGCAAGUUGUGAUUAUAGAUCGAAAUUUACCGAUAUACAUGUCGGAUCAAGUGGAAGAAACAAUGAUUCAUACAUUUUCGAAAGCAGUUCUUUAAAAAGUUACCACGAGAACGCUGAUAUUUUUCAACAGAAUAGCAAACGUAUUGGAGGCAUGGAUGUUCCCCUGCUACUUAUUGGCGACUCAGCCUUUCGUUUAUCGCGCUAUUUGAUGAAACCUUUUCCAUUUCACCGAAUCAGCCAGUUGUGGAAAAAACGUUUAACUACCGGUUAUUCCGAUGUCGGCGCGUAAUAGAAAACGCGUUUGGUCAACUUAAAGCUCGAU